rnacentral:rRNA from 1 species
AGUGAACGCUGGCGGUAGGCCUAACACAUGCAAGUCGAACGGCAGCACAGUAAGAGCUUGCCCUUACGGGUGGCGAGUGGCGGACGGGUGAGGAAUACAUCGGAAUCUACUUUUUCGUGGGGGAUAACGUAGGGAAACUUACGCUAAUACCGCAUACGACCUACGGGUGAAAGCAGGGGAUCUUCGGACCUUGCGCGAUUGAAUGAGCCGAUGUCGGAUUAGCUAGUUGGCGGGGUAAAGGCCCACCAAGGCGACGAUCCGUAGCUGGUCUGAGAGGAUGAUCAGCCACACUGGAACUGAGACACGGUCCAGACUCCUACGGGAGGCAGCAGUGGGGAAUAUUGGACAAUGGGCGCAAGCCUGAUCCAGCCAUACCGCGUGGGUGAAGAAGGCCUUCGGGUUGUAAAGCCCUUUUGUUGGGAAAGAAAAGCAGCAGGUUAAUACCCCGCUGUUCUGACGGUACCCAAAGAAUAAGCACCGGCUAACUUCGCG